UACGUAGGGGGCAAGCGUUGUCCGGAAUCAUUGGGCGUAAAGCGCGUGUAGGCGGACUGGAAGGUCUGGUGUGAAAGCCCGGGGCUCAACCCCGGAGGGUCACUGGAAACCGACAGUCUUGAGUCCGGAAGAGGAGAGUGGAAUUCCUGGUGUAGCGGUGGAAUGCGCAGAUAUCAGGAGGAACACCGGUGGCGAAGGCGGGUCUCUGGGCCGUAACUGACGCUGGAGGAGCGGAAGCGUGGGGAGCAAACAGG
rnacentral:rRNA from 1 species